rnacentral:tRNA from 1 species
AAUGAGGUGACUGAGUAGGUGAAAGUAGCAGUGUGCUAAACUGUCGAGAUCGUGAAUCUUGUGUGGGUUCAAAUCCCAUUCUCAUUG